rnacentral:rRNA from 1 species
CCUACGUGAGGCAGCAGUGAGGAAUAUUGGUCAAUGGGCGCGAGCCUGAACCAGCCAAGCCGCGUGAAGGAUGACUGCCCUACGGCUUUUAAACUUCUUUUAUAAAGGAAUAAAGUGAUCCCCUUGUGCCUUUUUGUAUUUACUUUAUCAAUAACGAUCGCCUACCCCCGUCCCAGCCGCGCCGGUAAUACGGAGGAUCCGGCCGUUACCCGUAUUUAUUGGGUUUAAAGGGAGCGUGGAUGGGGUGUUAAGUCAGUUGUGAAAGUGUGCGGCUCACCGGUAGAAGUGCAAUUGAUACUGGCAGUCUGGAGGGCAGAUGAGGUAGGCGGAAUUCGUGGUGUAGCGGUGAAAUGCAUAGAUAUCACGAAGAACACCGAUUGCGAAGGCAGCUUACUAAACUGCGACUGACACUGAUGCACGAAAGUGUGGGUAUCAAACAGGAUUAGAUACCCGUGUAGUC